rnacentral:rRNA from 1 species
ACGAACGCUGGCGGCGUGCCUAAUACAUGCAAGUAGAACGCUGAAGGAGGAGCUUGCUCUUCUGGAUGAGUUGCGAACGGGUGAGUAACGCGUAGGUAACCUGCCUGGUAGCGGGGGAUAACUAUUGGAAACGAUAGCUAAUACCGCAUAACAGUAGAUGUUGCAUGACAUUUGCUUAAAAGGUGCAAUUGCACCACUACCAGAUGGACCUGCGUUGUAUUAGCUAGUUGGUGGGGUAACGGCUCACCAAGGCGACGAUACAUAGCCGACCUGAGAGGGUGAUCGGCCACACUGGGACUGAGGCACGGCCCAGACUCCUACGGGAGGCAGCAGUAGGGAAUCUUCGGCAAUGGACGGAAGUCUGACCGAGCAACGCCGCGUGAGUGAAGAAGGUUUUCGGAUCGUAAAGCUCUGUUGUAAGAGAAGAACGAGUGUGAGAGUGGAAAGUUCACACUGUGACGGUAUCUUACCAGAAAGGGACGGCUAACUACGUG